GUUCUCGCUUUGGCAGCACAUAUACUAAGAUUGGAAUGAUACAGAGAAGAUUAGCAUGGCCCCUGUGCAAGGAUAACACAAAUUUGUGAAGCGUUCCAUAUUUUUU
rnacentral:snRNA from 1 species